CUUAAAAACACGAGCUGCCAUGUGUUCACGGUUCUACUGGUAUGGCAUGACAGUGGACAUUGACAAAUGGAUAUCUGAAUGUGACCAAUGUCAACGGGUGGGACCACCCCUGAAUGCAGUUAAAACUCUGGACUGCAUCAAGGUAUCUGCUGUUUGGGAGCUCAUCGGAAUUGAUCUCACUGGUCCACUCCAAAAAACAUCUACUGGGUAUCAGUAUAUAUUGACAGUCACUGACUAUUUUUCCAAGUGGGUGGAGGCCUUUCCUCAAAAGACAAAGUCUGCAUUGGAAGUAGCCAAAAACCUUUGUACAGUCAUUUAUAGACAUGGCUGCCCUAAGCGCAUACUGUCAGACCAAGGACGGGAGUUUGU